UUCGCCCUUCCUACGGGGGGCAGCAGUGAGGAAUAUUGGACAAUGGAUGGAAAUCUGAUCCAGCCAUGCCGCGUGCAGGAAGACGGCCCUAUGGGUUGUAAACUGCUUUCGUAUGGGAGCAAUAAGGUCUAUGCGUAGACUGAUGAGAGUACCAUACGAAUAAGCAUCGGCUAACUCCGUGCCAGCAGCCGCGGUAAUACGGGGGAUGCAAGCGUUAUCCGGAUUUAUUGGGUUUAAAGGGUGCGUAGGCGGUUUGAUAAGUCAGCGGUGAAAUAUUUCAGCUUAACUGAAAGGGUGCCGUUGAUACUGUCAGGCUUGAAUAUGGUUGCUGUGGGUGGAAUGUGUGGUGUAGCGGUGAAAUGCUUUGAUAUCACACAGAAUAUCGAUUGCGAAGGCAGCUCACAAAGCCAUUAUUGACGCUGAUGCACGAAAGUGUGGGGAUCAAACAGGAUCAGAUACCCUGGUAGUCCACACUGUAAACGAUGAUAACUCGCUGUCGGCGAUACACAGUCGGUAGCCAAGCGAAAGCGAUAAGUUAUCCACCUGGGGAGUACGACCGCAAGGUUGAAACUCAAAGGAAUUGACGGGGACCCGCACAAGCGGAGGAACAUGUGGUUUAAUUCGAUGAUACGCGAGGAACCUUACCCGGGCUCGAACGGUGCAGGAAUAUGUCAGAGAUGGCAUAGCUAGCAAUAGUCUGUAUCGAGGUGCUGCAUGGUUGUCGUCAGCUCGUGCCGUGAGGUGUCGGCUUAAGUGCCAUAACGAGUGCA
rnacentral:rRNA from 1 species